rnacentral:rRNA from 1 species
GAUGAACGCUGGCGGCGUGCCUAAUACAUGCAAGUCGAGCGAACAGACGAGGAGCUUGCUCCUCUGACGUUAGGGGCGGACGGGUGAGUAACACGUGGAUAACCUACCUAUAAGACUGGGAUAACUUCGGGAAACCGGAGCUAAUACCGGAUAAUAUAUUGAACCGCAGGGUUCAAUGGUGAAAGACGGUUUUUGUGUCACGUAUAGAUGGAUCCGCGCCGCAUUAGCUAGUUGUGAAGGUAACGGGCUACCAAGGGUAGGAUGCGUAGCCGACCUGAGAGGGUGAUCGGCCACAUUGGAGCUGAGACACGGUCCAGACUCCUAAGGGAGGCAGCAGUAGGGAAUCUGACGCAACGGGCGAGAGCCUGACGGAGCAACGCCGCGUGAGUGAUGAAGGUCUUCGGAUCGUAAAACUCUGUUAUUAGGGAAGAACAAAUGUGUAAGUAACUAUGCACGUCUUGACGGUACCUAAUCAGAAAGCCACGGCUAACUACGUG